rnacentral:lncRNA from 1 species
UGGCAUAACCAGGUCACGAUGUCAAAGAACAAGUGGAGGUAGAGGUUGAUGCUCUAACCAUUCAGUCUAGUAAGCCAAAAAAUGAAGUACAAGAUCCUAAUCAAGAAGAUGAUGAUGGUUCACCAAAUUAACAAUAAUAUAUAACAUUGCAACAUGCAGGGAGAGAAGAUAGAUUAGACCACCACAGAGGUGUAAAAAUUUAGUUGCAUAUGCCUUGUCAAUUAUAGAGACAACUGAUUUAUAGGAACCUGGUAAUUACAAGGAAGCUAUUUCGAGUUC